rnacentral:rRNA from 1 species
UACGGGGGGAGCAAGCGUUGUUCGGAUUUACUGGGCGUAAAGGGCGCGUAGGCGGCCAGCACAAGUCAGUUGUGAAAUCUCCGAGCUUAACUCGGAAAGGUCAACUGAUACUGUGCGGCUAGAGUGCGGAAGGGGCAACUGGAAUUCCUGGUGUAGCGGUGAAAUGCGUAGAUAUCAAGAGGAACACCUGAGGUGAAGACGGGCUGCUGGGCUGACACUGACGCUGAGGCGCGAAAGCUAGGGUAGCAAACGGG